rnacentral:lncRNA from 1 species
CUGCGUAAUCGCACGUGUCUCUUUGUUUUUCUUCUAAAUGCCAUUCUAGUUACUUUAAUGUAUAGCCUUACUCAGGCAAAUGCAUUCUCAGAUUCUUUAUCAAUCAUAUUCGUUUGCCACGGAAAGGAUUUUAAAAUUGCCCCUAUUGCAAUUUUGUUUACCAUUGUUUUUGGUUUUCUUCUGCUUGUCCAGUUUAUCUGCAUGGUGUAUCAUAGGUUUUCUACACUUGUGCACAUAACUGCCAAUACGCCUGUCUGGGAAAAUGAAGAAUCCAAACUUCGGAAAAUAUUUGAAAAUGUUGGACAAUAUAUGACAACAAAUAACCAAGAUCCCCCAAAAGAAUCAUUAACAGCGACAGAUAAAAAUAGAACAGUGGAAACGGUUCCAUUUCAAGAGCCUAAAGUAAAAAGUAUGAAACGAAAGGCAAAGUAUUUAAAGAAGUCAAAAGAUGAGUAUAUAGAUAUAGCGGCUGACAUUUGGUUGGAGCAAUUGAGACGAGAAAAACAGCAAAAGUCGGAAGAAAUUCCUGGUCCAAGUGUGAAACAUGAAUAAACAAGAAUGUUUCCUUAGAACACGGAUGCCCCACCCGCACUAUCAUUUUAUGUGUUUAGUGGACCGUGAAAUUGGGAUAAAAACUAUAAUUUGGCAUUCAAAUUUUUGAUUUUUGUAUGUAUAUAUUAGUUUUAAUUUGUUGUUUUUGUUUGAAAUAGCUUAUAGUAGAAUGGGAUUGGAAUGGAUAUAAUUUUUUUGAUCAAACAUUAACCUUUAACCAUGAUGACAUUUUUGGGUUACGAUUAGAGUUUUUCAGGUUUUAUUUUUUGUUUUGUUGCUGCAAUUUGAUAUCAUUUCAAUCUUUAUAACUAAACAUUUCCCAAUUUAAGUUGUUACUCCGAAAAACACAGACUAAGACUAAGUACUAAUACACAAUGAUUAUUCUUCCAAAACUUGAUUUCAAUCGUAAAUUAUCAUAAUUUUUGAAGAAAUCAUGUUGAAUUUGUUAUUGCAAUAUUCGAAAAAGUCAUGACAUUUGAACAUC